AUCAUGGACAAAGUAAGAGAGGCGAUUCAGAGAAUUCCAAGAGCACCCGGAGAGAGACAAAGUAUGGAAGUGACAAGUGCUCACAAGAGGAGGAUUUGGUCUUGCAAUGGCUAGCCGGCUCUAGUCAAGUGAGUACUGUGGAAGCCAAACAUACUCUUUGGACAAGCAUCCCAUGGUCAGAUACACUCAUCUGCCAAUUGGUGUUC
rnacentral:lncRNA from 1 species